AUGCUUAUUCAUAUUCAACUCUUCGGUACAGGAAAAAAGGUUUCAGCAGGAGCAAUAGCAGGAAGUGUUGUGGCUGGUGUAGUGGCACCAGUCUUGGGUGUCUUGUUAUUCUUGUUUUAUAGGCGAAGAAAGGCGAAACAGAAUGCACUGCGGCUAGGUAACCUUGCAACUGAGACCAGUACAAUAUUAAUGCAAAAGGUGACAUCAUCGACCACUCAAGCUGACGUAGCUUCAUUAGCUGCUGGCAUUACAGUUGACAAAUCAGUCAAGUUCACAUACCAAGAACUUUUUAAUGCUACAGAAGGCUUCAACAUAACUCAUAAAAUUGGACAAGGUGGCUUUGGUGCUGUUUAUUAUGCUGAGCUUGUAGGCGAGAAAGCCGCUAUAAAGAAAAUGGACAUGCAGGCUACUCAAGAGUUUCUUGCCGAAUUAAAGGUUUUGACACAUGUUCACCACCUAAAUCUGGUGCGCUUGAUUGGUUAUUGCACAGAGAGUUCUUUGUUCCUUGUCUACGAAUUUGUCGAGAAUGGCAACUUAAGCCAGCAUUUGCGUGGAACUGGUUACGAGCCUCUUUCUUGGGCUGAAAGAGUUCGGAUUGCGCUAGAUUCAGCAAGAGGUCUUGAGUACAUUCAUGAGCAUACCGUUCCAGUCUACAUACAUCGGGACAUCAAAUCCGCAAACAUCUUGAUAGACAAGAACACCCGUGCAAAGGUUGCAGAUUUUGGUCUGACCAAGCUUACAGAAGUUGGUGGUGCAUCUUUGCAAACACGUGUUGUUGGUACAUUCGGUUACAUGCCUCCAGAAUACGUUUGA
rnacentral:rRNA from 1 species